AUUGAGAAUGCAAAAGUCUGAAAAGAUGAAAGCUAGGGAAAAUAGAGAAUUUAUUGGUUUAUCUAGCGAACCUAGUGCUCAGUUCGCUGAGUCACUAAACAACAAGAGACAUGGAAAAGAAGUAGGUCCAUGGGCAUCUGAAGCUAUCUUUCCAAGACACAGAAAUUCAGACCAAGCCACUUUCAUAGCAGCAGUGCGAAAAAGGCUGAGAUUCUCAAAUCCCAGGGAGAAUAUCAGAAGAUUCAAGGAA
rnacentral:misc_RNA from 1 species